rnacentral:rRNA from 1 species
CAGAUUGAACGCUGGCGGCAGGCUUAAGUACAUGCAAGGUCGAACGGUAGCAGCAGGAAGGCUUGCCUUUCUGGCUGACGAGUGGCGGACGGGUGAGUAAUACCUGGGAAACUGCCUAUAAGAGGGGGACAACGACCUGGAAAACGGGUGCUAAUACCGCAUAAGCCCUGAGGGGAAAAGGAUGGGAAACCAUGCGCUUAUAGAUGUGCCCAGGAGGGAUUAGCUAGUUGGGGAGGUAAAGGCUCACCAAGGGCGACGAUCUCUAGCUGGUCUGAGAGGAUGAUCAGCCACAUUGGGACUGAGACACGGCCCAAACUCCUACGGGAGGCAGCAGUAGGGAAUAUUGCACAAUGGGGGAAACCCUGAUGCAGCCAUGCCGCGUGUGUGAAAGAAGGCCUUCGGGUUGUAAAGCACUUUCAGCGGGGAGGAAGGCUGGAGCUCCAACAGGGCUUUCAGUCAGACGUUACCCGCAGAAGAAGCGCCGGCUAACUCCGUGCCAGCCGCCGC